UACGGAGGGUGCGAGCGUUGUCCGGAAUCACUGGGCGUAAAGAGCUCGUAGGCGGUCUGUCGCGUCGGCUGUGAAAACCCGGGGCUCAACCCCGGGCCUGCAGUCGAUACGGGCAGACUAGAGUGCGGUAGGGGAGACUGGAAUUCCUGGUGUAGCGGUGAAAUGCGCAGAUAUCAGGAGGAACACCGGUGGCGAAGGCGGGUCUCUGGGCCGUAACUGACGCUGAGGAGCGAAAGCGUGGGGAGCAAACAGG
rnacentral:rRNA from 1 species